UUUCAGAUAAGAAUGAUCUGGUUUUUAAACCCAAAACUUCACCACUUAUACACAGGAUGGCCUCCCUGGAAUUAUCUUCCUCUUGUGAGAGUGAUGCUUCUAUUCGCUGAAAAGAUGACCACAAUGCUUCCAUCAGUGGAAUUUCGUGCAGAUGGAGUGAGGACAAGUGUGUAAAAUAAGCGGAAGAAAGGAGAUGAGUUUUCAGCCAUGUUCUCUGAGUUAAAUAAAAAUCUCCAAAAGACAGCAAGAUGCCUGAAUGUCUGCAGCUUUCAUCAUGUGAUGCACAUCAAGCCCUGACAUGGCUCCCCUGUCAGAUAUCUACACCCACCGAGGUCCAGAAAAUGCCACAAGUUAAAUAUGAAAGAAAAGCUGGCAUCGUCUCUCUUGAGCUCAUCAAGGAAGUACGUUAUAUCCUUUUUCUACUGAGACCUUCAUCCAGGGAUGAAAUGCCAAAGUCUCGCACCAGCAGGGAAGCCAGGGGGUGAGCUCGCUCCACUUCCUCGGUGUCUCUGAGAGAGCACAGGGUUGUCAAGUGCCCCAGAAUUAAUGACAUCCCUUGAUGGAAACACAUGAAGGUCCUUGCUUUGGGGCGCCUGGCCACAGAACAGGAAAUGGAGCUGUUUCCAAGAGAAAUGGAGUUGCCUUCCUUGGGGGAACCAAAAGAGUGUUUGAGCAGGCAAUUGAUCAAUAGGAAGACUGCAAGGUGAUAAAAGAACUGGAAGCCACAAAAGCCGGUGGCUCAUUCGUGUGCAUAAAGAAGAUUCUGUCUCCUGCUAAGCUCUCUGCAAUGAUUUCCUUGACACAUGCAUCUAAAUUUUACCUUUAACAAUGCAAGUGUUUCCAUCCAGUGCUAACCCAUUUCUUUACCAAAGAUAAAAGAAUCCCUUUGAACUAUUUGCCUGGGUUGAUCAAACAGGAUUGAUUUUUGAUUUUUGGGAUUUUUUUAAAAAGAUUUAUUUAUUUACUUAAAAGUCAGAGUUACAGAGAGAGAGGAGAGGCAGAGAGAGAGAGAGAGAGAGAGGUCUUCCAUCCAAUGGUUCACUCCCCAAUUGGCCACAAUGGCUGGAGCUAUGCUGAUCUGAAGCCAGGAGCCAGAAGCUUCUUCAGGGUCUCCCACAUGGGUGCAGGGUCCCAACGACCUGGGCCAUCCUCCACUGGCCAUAGUAGAGAGCUGGAUGCGAAGUGCAGCAGCCGGGACUCGAACCGGCGCCCAUAGGGGAUGCCGGCACUUCAGGCCAGGGCGUUAACCCGCUGAGCCACAAGGCCAGUCCCAAACAGGAUUGAUUUUGUUGCUGAUAUUAUCCUGCACUUGCUACACUUCUUCAAGCCAGGUAGGAUGUCCUAUCAUUUGGGAUGUGUGAUUUUUUGGCUAAUUAUAUCUAGAAUCAACUUUGACACCACUUAAAAAGAUAAGCAACCUCUAAUGAUGGCUUUCUUCAAUUAACUUACUCCUUGGCAAAAGUCUCAAUAUUUCAGAGUCACGUAUUAAAAGCCUUAAGCAGAUUUACCAGAUGAAAACAUAUAUUCAAACAUUAAAGAAAGUUGAUAUGUAACAUGUUUCUCCUUGUAAUAUGUUGAUUUAUAUACUUUAUCUUGUCAUAGAUUGGAAUCCCACAGACAAGAACUAGAUGGUUAUACAUGCAGACUGUAAUGAUCACAAAUGUAUUCUGUGAUCCCUAAAAUCCCCUGGUGUGAGUGUAUCCCUGGACAAGUAUAUCCCUAGGUGGUAGUCCAGAACAGAGUAUCAGAGUUGCUAUUUGGUGCUUCUAGGUUGAAAAACGAGCAGUGAGGGAAAAGCGAACAUUAUGAGGAAUUCUCCAUGUCUAUGUGGAAACAGCUCUCACCUGUCACAGUGAGACAGUCAUGAUGAAGCUUUAUUUUUUGUUCUCCUUAAAACAUCCAGGCCCAGCACCCACCUGGCACUUCCUAGCUAGUCCAAGACUUCCAUAGCACUUGUUAACGUUGGUAUGAAUAAUCAUAAAAAAACCACAAACCAUACACCCAUAUUCAUGCAUAAGAGAUUUGCCUCUUAGCCUUUCUUUGCUUCCUUCCUUUCUUCUUUUCCUAUCUUUCCAAGUUUACCCUGCUAGGCGGCUGAGCGGAAGCAAUGAUGGAAGUAAUGGAAGACACAAUGCACUACAAACGUUCCGGGGAAGAAGCAGACCCCACCCAGCCAUGGGAGUGCUCAUGGAAGCAUCGAGUAGGAGCCCGGGCCUGGAGGAAGGUGUAGGAUUGACAGAUGGGAAGGGAAGAAGCCAUGAGAUGCCAGUCAGAUCAUGGAAUUUUCUAUGUACAAGUGCUCAGGCAAGACUUUAGUGGUUUUAUUACACCCACAGAAAAGAAUCGGCACUUCUCUCCACAAAACAAAAGCUGAUUCAAGGCCAGGCUCCACCUGCCUCUCUGAUCUCCUGUCACUACAUUCUUUUCUCUUCCUCCCUAGUGCUGCAGCUACACUGGCUUUCCCCCAGGUCCAUUAAUCUGCCAAGCUCAGUCCUGCCUUAGAAAUUCCACACUAGCUGUGUCCCUUGAAAGAACUUUUUAGGAGCCAUUGCUCUGUCUUAGCGGGUAAAGCCGCUGCCUGCAGUGCUGGCAUUCCAUAUGGGCACUGGUUCAAGUCCUGGCUGCUCCACUUCCGAUCCAGCUCUCUGCUAUGGCCUGGGAAAGCAGUGGAAGAUGGCUCAAGUCCUUGGGCCCCUGCACCCACGUGGGAGACCCAGAAGAAGCUCCUGGCUCCUGGCUUUGGAUUUGCACAACUCCAGCCAUUGCGGCCAUCUGGGGAGUAAACCAGCAGAUGGAAACCUCUCUCUCUCUGCCUCUGCCUCUCUGUAACUCUGCCUCUCAAAUAAAUAAAUCUUAAAAAAAAUCA
rnacentral:lncRNA from 1 species